AUGGCUACCACGCCGGUGCUCCACGACGCGCUGCUCGACUUUACUUCGCGGGAGAACUGGGACAAGUUCUUUGCCCUCCGCGGCGAUGGCGACAGCUUCGAGUGGUACGCGGAGUGGCCGCAAAUCAAGGCCCCGCUCCUGUCGCUCCUCCUUGGGGAAGAGGGGACUGAGAUCCUUGUCCCGGGGUGCGGGAGCUCGUCGCUCUCGGAGCAGCUGUACGACCUGGGGUUCCGCCGCAUCACCAACGUCGACUUCUCCCGUAUCAUCGUGGCCGACAUGCUCCGCCGGCACGCCCGUGUGCGCCCUCAGAUGCGUUGGCGCGUCAUGGACAUGACCAACAUGCAGUUUCCAGAUGGUUCGUUUGAUUUCAUACUUGAUAAGGGAGGAUUGGAUGCUCUUAUGGAGCCGGAGGUUGGCACAAAACUGGGGAUGAAAUAUCUAGACGAGGCCAAGAGGGUUUUGAAGUCAGGCGGGAAAUUUGCGUGCUUUACUCUAGCAGAAUCCCAUGUUUUAGACCUACUUUUGUCUGAGUUCAGGUUUGGAUGGGAUAUGACUAUUCAAGCUAUAGCUAGUGAACCCUCUAGCAAGUCUGCCUUCCAGACCUUCAUGUUGGUCAUGGUAAAAGGGAAGAUGGGUGUUGUACACACAAUAAAAUCACUAGUGGACCAGUCUGCUGAAUACUGUAACAUGCAACAGGCAAAUGCUGUAAUUCAUGCUCUGCAAAAUGAGAACAAAAUCCGGGAGUCACACAAUUCUGGUGUUGAUAUACUUUUCUCGUUGCGAGAUCUUCAGCUGGGUGCUAUUGGAGAUCUAAAGGUUAUUGUCCCAGGACGAAGGAGGCAGUUAAUUCUCGGUGAACAAGGAAGCUCAUUGUAUUGCUACAAAGCUGUUUUAAUGGAUGCCAAGAAUCAAAACGAGACAUUUGUAUACCACUGUGGAGUUUUUAUUGUGCCUAAGGCACGAGCUCAGGAAUGGUUAUUUGCUUCAGAGGAAGGGCAGUGGCUUGUUGUUGAAAGUGCAAAGGCUGCUCGUCUAAUCAUGGUAUUCCUCGAUAGCAGACAUGCAAGUGCUGACAUUGAUGUUGUUAAGAAGGAUUUAUCUCCUCUUGUUAUGGAUCUAGAACCUGAAUAUCCUGAAGAGACAGACCCUAUGCCAUUCAUGAUGGCUAGUGAUGGCGUGAAACAAAGAGAUAUUCUGCAGGAGGUAACAUCAGAAAUAACAGGUCCUAUGGUUGUGGAAGAUGUUCUUUAUGAAAAUGUUGAUGGAGAUCAAAGCUGCAUGUCUGAAAAAAUGUUCCGACGACUUAUUUUUAAAAGAAGUUCUGGCUUAGUGCAAUCUGAAGCAUUGUUAAUCAGAGAAUCACCAAGUGACGAGACGGACAGUAAGACCAAGAACUCAUCUGCAUCAUCAAAAAAGAAGAGCCAGAAAAAGGGACUCACUGGAUCCAAGGACAGUCUCAGGGUCGACCAUAGCUAUCUUGGUAGCUCUUAUCACAGUAGUAUCAUAUGUGGGCUUUCUUUAGUUGCAUCUGCUCUGAGUGCUGCGGCAUCAUCUGGAGAAAGGGUGAGUACCACUAUUGUAGGCCUUGGGGCCGGGAGUUUACCAAUGUUUCUUCAUGGAUGCCUCCCUCAUCUUAAUAUUGAGGUGGUUGAGUUGGACCCCAUGAUGGAGGAGGUAGCAACGAAAUAUUUUGGCUUUUCAAUGGAUGAGCAAUUGAAGGUGCAUUUGGGGGAUGGAAUCAAAUUCAUUGAAGAAAAUGCCCAUUCUGAACCAAAUGGCAAAGACAGUGACGCAGUUAGAAUUCUUAUUGUUGAUGUUGAUUCAUCUGAUCUAAGUUCUGGGUUGUCUUGCCCCCCAGCAAACUUUGUCGAAGAUGCUUUCCUUAUGUCAGCAAAAAAGUUCCUUUCAGCUGGGGGCCUCCUCAUCAUCAAUCUAGUCGCGCGAUCAUCUGCAGUCAGGGAAAUGGUCAUUUCACGAUUGAAAGCGGUCUUUGAAAACCUAUACUCACUGCAACUCGAAGAAGAUGUGAACGAAGUCCUGUUUGCAUCCCCAAGCAAAAGAUACCUGGAAAUCGAUCACCUUGAUGAGGCUGCAACUAAACUGAAGGCUAUGCUGAAAUUCCUGGUGGAUGUGGAAUCAGAUAUGAAGAAUUUGCAGAGGCUGCAGUAG
rnacentral:rRNA from 1 species